UACGAAGGGGGCUAGCGUUGCUCGGAAUCACUGGGCGUAAAGCGCACGUAGGCGGAUCUUUAAGUCAGGGGUGAAAUCCCGAGGCUCAACCUCGGAACUGCCUUUGAUACUGGCGACCUUGAGUCCGGGAGAGGUGAGUGGAACUGCGAGUGUAGAGGUGAAAUUCGUAGAUAUUCGCAAGAACACCAGUGGCGAAGGCGGCUCACUGGCCCGGUACUGACGCUGAGGUGCGGAAAGCGUGGGGAGCAAACAGGG
rnacentral:rRNA from 1 species